rnacentral:rRNA from 1 species
UACGUAGGGGGCAAGCGUUGUCCGGAUUUAUUGGGCGUAAAGAGCGUGUAGGCGGCCAAACAGGUCAGCUGUGAAAACUCGAGGCUCAACCUCGAGACGUCGGUUGAAACCGUUUGGCUAGAGUCCGGAAGAGGAGAGUGGAAUUCCCAGUGUAGCGGUGAAAUGCGCAGAUAUCGGGAAGAACACCCGUGGCGAAGGCGGCUCUCUGGGACGGUACUGACGCUGAGACGCGAAAGCGUGGGGAGCAAACAGG